GUAGAUCCAGGUAGCAGGGGCCCUGCCCAUCAAAGUACAAGGUUGGAACAUGGAGGCUGCCCCUUCCAUUCCCUGACUCUCCCAUCUUCUCCCCCUGCCUUGUAUCAUGUGCUAGAUUUAGACAGCAUCAGGAGCCGGACCUUCCAGGCCCAGCUUUGCCCUGCUAUAGCUUUGUGACCUUGGAUGAGUCACCUGACCUCUCUGAGCCUCAGCUUCUCCAUCUGUGAAAUGGGUAUACUAUACUUAUAGAAUUGUCAUGAGUGGAACUCGGGAAACACGAGGGAACUGUAGAAAUGAAAGUUGCUACUGGUCUUACCUUAUUUCCCACCAUGUGUUAUGACUAUCCAGAGAGGGAGGAGGCAAUGAGGAAAUCUAUAGAGGAAGAACUCUAUUAUUAAAAAAAAGAAUCUGGUUGGGCUCAGAAGACAAGGGUUCUCAUUUCAGAUUGUGCUAUGGAGUCACUGGACCAGGUUGGGCAAGUGUCUUGCCUUCUCUGCUCUUCCCUUUUCUGUUCAGUAAAAUGAGGGUCUCAAGAGUAGCUGGUCUCUGAAGUCCCUCCCAGAUUUUGUGCUGAGAAGUCCAGGUGCCUGGGAUCCGAGCUGGCCAUCACAACUCCAAGGAACAUUUGCCGUUGGGUUGAAGAAGUAGCAUGUUGGAAAGAGUGCUGGUCUUGGAGUCAGGAAAUACUUGGGUUCAGAUCUCCACCUCCAACAUUUACUGUCUGUGUGACGAUAGGGAAUGCCCAGUAUUUUUCGGAGCUUCAUUUUCCUUAUCUGUAAAAAGGGCCACUCCACUCCUUCUCUUUAGCGACCCCUGCAUGCUGGCUUCAGACCCCACCACUUGACUGAACCUAUCUUGCCAAGUCUCCAAUGAUCCAUCUUGAGCCUUCUGGGCACCACUCUGGCCUUCUGGCUCGUCUCCUCUCUGGAUGGAUGUGAUAUCCCUUGUUCUUGGUGCUUCUCAGUCUCUUUAGUGGAUCAUCAUUUGGUCUUUCAACAUGUUCUCUCUUGGUAAUCCCAACUUUGUCACAUAAGCUUUAAUCUCUUUAGAUCCAUCUGUCCUCUCCCUACCUCCCCCCCCCCCAUCUGCAUUAUAUCACAGACUUCUUGCUGGUCAUCUCUAUCUUUUCUGCAGAAACUAACUCUUCUUCCCAACUUCCCUAUUUUUGUCAAGGGUGCCACCAUUCCCCUUGGUUCCCAGGCUUACAACCUAGGAGGCAAUCUGAAUUCUCGCCCCUCACCCCCAGAUUUAUCCACCUGGUUACCAAGUCUCGAACUCUCCUCUCUUGACCCUUCCCCCUAGUCUUGUCCUCAACAUCUCUUAACUGGAUUAUUGCAGUGGCUUCCCAAUUGGCUUCCCUGUUUCCAACUCUUGUGAUUUCUUUCUUUACAACAUCUCCCUUGCAAAGCCACCGCCCUGGUUGACGCUCACAUCACCUCUCACUUGAAUUAUGGAAAUGGUGUUUUUAAUUACGUUUUUAUUUUUUUAAUCAAACCUCCUCUCCCUCGAUCUCCACCCAUCACCUCUCUGAAGGUAGGGCAGUGUAGUAUGCUUCUUCAUGAACCCUCUGGAAUCCUGGGUAGUCAUUGCACCAAUCAGAGUUCCUAAGCUUUUUAAAGUUGCUUGUCUUUCUAGACAAUUGUUCUCUGGGUUCUGCUCACUUCCUUUUGCUUCAGUUCAUUCAAGUCUUCCCAUGCUUUUCUGAAACCCUGUCCUUCAUCAUCUCUUUUGGUACUGGAGUACCCCAUCACAUUCAUAUACCAUACAUAACUUGUUCAGCCAUUCCCCACAGUUUCCAAUUCUUUGCCACUACUAAAAUAGCUGCUAGAAAUAUUGUUGUACAUCUGAAUCCCUUUUCUCCUUCUUUGAUCUCUUGGGGCUUCAGACUUCAUGUUGGCAUCCCUGACCGAGUCCCACGGCAUGCACUGCUUAGCUACUUUUUGGACCUACUUCCAAAGGGCUUUCCUGAAUGACUGGCCCAGCUCACAUUCUACUCAAGGGCCAUUAAUAGAUCUGCUUUUCCGCUGCCCCUCCAGGAUUUGGCCUUUUCCUCACUGACAUGAUGGGUGUGAGAUGAUCCCUCACAGUUGCUUUAAUUUGCAAUUUUGAUUGUAUGGCUAGUUUGGGUUUCUUCUCUUGAGAAUGGUCUCUUCAGAUCCUUUGACCAUUUAUCACUUGAGGGAUGUCCUUAUUCUUAUACCUUUAAAUUAGUUCCCUUACAAAUUAGAUCUUUAUCAGAACAACUUGUCACCUAGCUUCCCCCUCCCACAAUAGCCUUUUGAUUGUUUUUCCUGACUGUAGACUCUUCUCUCCCCUAUCUGUUGUCCUCAGGGCAUAUUGCUAUAUUGAUAUUCCUACGCUGUAGGUCUGCCCAGGUGUCACAUGUAUGUUCCCCUCCAGCGUGGGGAGCUUCAGUAACUCCCAGUGGCCUAGAGGGUGAAAUUCAAAUUCGUCUUUUUGGCACAACUAACCCCACCUUUCACAGUCGGCGGUUAGGCUGGCUUUCUUUUUGCUUUGCUUUUCUUCUUUUGAAGAGGGUCAGCUACAGAGAGCAAACUGGCAAAUAAGCGAUAAGACUACCCCCUCCCAAAUCCCGUUUACAGAUGGAGAGGAUUGGUCUUCUUCUUUUUCAGUUGUGUUUUUUGCAUAUUACGUGUCGAUACAAUUUUUAAUACUUGUUUUCUGACAUUUCGCCAUCCAUGUGCCCUCCCUGUUCCCCAAGAAGACAGGUAAUAGAAUCGAGGUUGGAUCUCUGUUAUCAUACACUAGUGUCGGACUCCCUUUCGUCAUGUUGUCAGACAAGACACAUAUCGCUUACACUCGAGGAAGGUUCAUGGAGGCAAUAAUAUGAAGAAUGGGACCUGGCCACCUCUUUCUACCGAGUAUUUUCUUUGUAAGCUGCAUACCCUACCAGGCUAAUGGCUUCAGUCCAUUGGGUUGUUUUCCUCAUAGCCCCAGGCUCUGUUUCUAGACUGACUUCCCAUGACUCCUGUUUAUGGCUGUCUCUAUUCUGGCCAAACUGAUCUGUUUGCCCUUUCCUGGACGUGACAGCCCAUCUCUCCUCCUUCCUUAUCUUCCUCUCUCGGAGCCUUUGAUCUCCUUCAUUCUGGCCUCAGCUCAGAUUGCUGCCUUCUGGAAGAGAAUGCACCUGGGCCCUCCCAACUGUCCCCACUGAAAUUACUUGGUAGUGACUUGAUAGUCUGGAUCUCCUCCUGUGCUUUCAGAUGGUUUUCCUCAUAGAUUCUAAGAUCCUCAAAGGCAGGGACUGCUUGGGUUUGGCUCUUGGAUUGCUGCACGGUGCCCACCCAGCACACGAGAGUUAGUUGAAUAACAGCUGUCUAUUGUUCCUGACUUCACAGGGGAGUUGUGAGAAGCCAUUGAGACCUGGCCUGUGAAGUGCUUUCCACACCUAAGACUGCCUAGUCCGUGGCCCCUAUUCUCCCUGAUGCCCGAAGUCCAUGGGAGAGGCUGGUGUCUGGGCCUGGGGAGCUUUUGCUUGGGUUCUCAGCUAUCUCCUGGGUAUUUAUAGAUCCUUCCUUCUCUGACGCCUGAGUCCCAGCUGGCCCUUGGCAUGCCAGCCAACAUUCUAGGAUUUCAGAGGGCCAGCUGACAGAGGGAGGCAACUCCUCUUCCCUCUACCCAUGAGACUCUUUCAUUAGUGGCGGGCCUCUGUGCUUUGGGGAGUUUGAGGAAAGCAUGCCUAUGCUUCCCUCAUUUCUGAGACUCCCAAAUAUUUACAAGUCCAACCCCUUUCAUCUCUAGAGAGGAAACUGAGAGAAGGGGUAGCCCAUCUCAGAAAGGGGGAAGACAUUUGUCCAAUGUCACUCAGACAGACAGACUUUGUGACCACAAUAUCCCUUUUUUCCACUCCUCUGAAUGGGAAGAGAAUCUUGGUCUUCUUGGUCUUAGAAAAUAUUUCCUGGAAAGCUCUUCUCUUAAGAAGCAAAGAUUAUCAUGGAUCCUCUAUCCCAGUCACCUAUCCAGAAGACCAAAGGGAACUAAAUGUGAAUGGCUAUUUGAGGAUUUUUGUAGUUGACGUGGACCAUGGCAAAUCCCUACACACAACACUCCUGUCUGAUCCCCCCAAGGGAGCGUGUUUAUGAUGGGGAGGAUAGGGAGAAGGCCUACUCCAACUUGUAGACAAGGAGAUUAGACAGGAUUCCAGUUGAAGUCAAGCUGCAGCUUUUGGAGUGCCCAGGCACAAUGUCCUUGGCAUCAGCUGGGGCAGGAGCAGGUAUCCUGCCCAUGGCACCCAUCCAUCUUUGCCUGAGGUGCCAGCCAGCUUUCCAUCCCAAGGCUCAGCUUCCUCCUGGCCCUUUUCACUUUGGGGGUCUGUUGUAUGUUACAGGACUAAUAAAGCUCUCUGGAAGAAAGUGGCCAACCUAAGAAAGAAGCACAGCCAACAGCAGCAGCUGUUAUCCAAGAUCUUCCAGGUCAUACUUGGUUUGAUGAGAGGAAACUACAUUGUGGGCGUCAAGAGAAAAAGGUGAAAUUACUGGUCCCGAGUAUUCUCUCUGUAACUGGCCAUAAUUUCCCCAAUAGCCUUAAGCCUCAGCCUUUCAAAAUGUAUCUCUUAGCUUUCAGUUUAGAGCAUUUAGUCAGACCACACAUCCAUCCUGUGCUUUGUGGGUGGGAAAUGGUACCUCCCAAGAGAGCUGGCGAGGCCCUUGUUGAGCUCCUGGCUGUGGCAGCACAUGGUAUGAGAAAGUGGUACUAGAUGGGUUAGUGGGUUAAUGGCAAGCUGUCUUGGGGCAGCCGGAUCACAAGGGUAGCCCUGGUGGCUGGCAUUCAGUUUGUCCCGAAGGAUACCCUUGGCCCGGAGUUCGCCUAAGGAGUGCCCAGACACCCUAUGCCUUUCUCUUGAAGGAUGAUGGAGAAGCUUCAUGGGGUAGUAGGAAGAGGGCUUGGCUGAAGUUGAGAGCCCUCAAGUCGUUUUCCAGCUUUUGGAGCCUGUGUUCUUCUGCGCCCGUGGGGAUCGUGGCGCUUGUACCAUCUACCUACCUACCUCACAGGGUUGUUGUGAGGAAAGUGCUUCGUAAGCAUUUGUUGUUAUAACGAUAAUAUUCUUUCUGAAACUGCCUCUCUCCUACCCUGCCCCAACAUCCUCUUAUACCAGAUCAGAGCCCCAGAGGCUGUCCUGGACCCGUCCUGGGGAUGCUUUUAGAACUGUUGUCCUCUUUCCCAUCCCCAAGUUCUAAGGCUUCCCCAACCCACCCUGUAUCCCUCAGUUCUAGACCUGACCUGUGGUGUCCCAUGUUGAUGGGCUUGCUUGUGUUGGCCUUGAAAGGAGAGGGCAUUCCCUACAGAGCACCCUGACACCUGGUACCAUGCCAAAGGCUUUAUUCUUCAAACCAAGGCAACAAGCUUUGAUUAA